rnacentral:rRNA from 1 species
CUGCAGAAGAAGCGCCGGCUAACUACGUGCCAGCAGCCGCGGUAAUACGUAGGGCGCAAGCGUUGUCCGGAAUUAUUGGGCGUAAAGAGCUCGUAGGCGGUUUGUCGCGUCUGCUGUGAAAGCCCGGGGCUCAACCCCGGGGUCUGCAGUGGGUACGGGCAGACUAGAGUGCAGUAGGGGAGACUGGAAUUCCUGGUGUAGCGGUGAAAUGCGCAGAUAUCAGGAGGAACACCGAUGGCGAAGGCAGGUCUCUGGGCUGUUACUGACGCUGAGGAGCGAAAGCAUGGGGAGCGAACAGGAUUAGAUACCCUGGUAGUCCAUGCCGUAAACGUUGGGCACUAGGUGUGGGGGACAUUCCACGUUCUCCGCGCCGUAGCUAACGCAUUAAGUGCCCCGCCUGGGGAGUACGGCCGCAAGGCUAAAACUCAAAGGAAUUGACGGGGGCCCGCACAAGCGGCGGAGCAUGCGGAUUAAUUCGAUGCAACGCGAAGAACCUUACCAAGGCUUGACAUCCACCGGACCGCACUGGAGACAGUGCUUCCCUUCGGGGCUGGUGGACAGGUGGUGCAUGGUUGUCGUCAGCUCGUGUCGUGAGAUGUUGGGUUAAGUCCCGCAACGAGCGCAACCCUCGUUCUAUGUUGCCAGCACGUGAUGGUGGGGACUCAUAGGAGACUGCCGGGGUCAACUCGGAGGAAGGUGGGGAUGACGUCAAAUCAUCAUGCCCCUUAUGUCUUGGGCUUCACGCAUGCUACAAUGGCCGGUACAAAGGGUUGCGAUACUGUGAGGUGGAGCUAAUCCCAAAAAGCCGGUCUCAGUUCGGAUUGAGGUCUGCAACUCGACCUCAUGAAGUCGGAGUCGCUAGUAAUCGCAGAUCAGCAACGCUGCGGUGAAUACGUUCCCGGGCCUUGUACACACCGCCCGUCAAGUCACGAAAGUUGGUAACACCCGAAGCCGGUGGCCUAACCCCUUGUGGGAGGGAGCCGUCGAAG